ensembl:lncRNA
AUAUAUAUAUAUAUAUAUAUAUAUAUAUAUAUAUAUAUGAAUUUUCUACAUGUUAUCUUAAGAGUUUUUCCAUUGUUUUAGUAUAACAUUAUAAUACCAUUCAUAUUUACUUUUUUUGUAAAAACUUUUUAAUAUAAUUUAAAGAAACCAAUCCGAUUUAUAGUUGCCAUUUGAGGCUUAAUACUAUAGAAAAGCACUCAAAGUUUUUUAGCUUGUUUAUUUUACUAUGAAAAUAUGGUAUGCAGUUGCAUCAAACAAUGGUAUAAACAUCAAUGUAAAUUGUGAGAAUCCUAAUUAAUAAAUCACAAUUACAAUUUCAAGGCAAUAAUCUACAAUUAUGAUUUUUGUCAUAAUCAUACAGCCAUAACUACAGUCACAACAAUGACAGCUUCAGCAAACAUAUUGCUGUACCCUAAAGAUUUGCAACACAUAAAAUGUGGGCAAUUCCCAUUUAAUCUCACAAGCCUGCUUUUAAUUAAAACAAUAGUGCAUUCAAUGAUACAUUCAUUCAUUCUGUUAUUGUUUUGGUCCAGCUUAGAAUGAAUGAAUGAAUGAACUAAUUAAUUAAGCUACAUUAGCUAACACAUUGUCAUCACAAAUCAUAAACUAAUACAAAAAAAAAGUGUCUAGAAAGUGUCAACAAUCACUCUACAAUGUUUGUUUUGAUGGAGUAAACAUCACAGGGGGUGGGGACAGAAUAUGCUUGUGACCUCACUCCAUUCAUGUUUUGCCUGUAGCCAUUCAACCAAUCCCAUCCCACGUGUGUCUAAAUGUCCAGGUCAUCAAUUGCACUUCGUACGGUCCCAGGGACGUGUCGGACGGACGUCUUUUCAACGGUCAACAGACGUCCGAAUGUUUGCUGGGACGGCACGAAAUUUUUUUUUUUUUUUUUUUUUUUUUUAAUAUCAUGACAUGGCGGAGCGCAAGAAAAAAAUGCAUUCUGAAGCUGCUCACUUAGGCGAUCUGGCUCGUCUCAGUCUGCUCAAUCGUGGUGAUGUCAGUGCCCUAAAAGAUGUUAUAAUGGACUAUUUCACAUCCAGAGAUGAAGGAUUGGAUGAAGUUACUAAAGAGGAGGAGUCCGAUGACAGUCUGUUAUAUGCACAGUUGCCAGAUGCUGUCCUGUCGGAAAUUCUUCUUCACAUGGUCCUGGAGGAGGGUGAUGCUGCAUUAUUAAAUCUGUCUUUGGUUUGUUCCAAAUUCAGAAGUCUGGUGUAUACAGAAUCAUUUCAGAAGAAGGCACAUUUCUCCUGGCUUGACAGUAUGUAUUUUUUUACAUAUUUGAUUAGAGGUUUAAAAUGGUGCCAUACCAUUAAAUUUCUCAGUUGCCAUGUCUGAAUGUUUAUCUUUGUAAUAAUGCUGUUUUUAUGUUUCUCAUCUCAAUAUACAGGUGUAACAAAAUGGAGAACAAGUCUGAGCCACGCCAGGAAUUCUUCAAAAUGUACACAGUGCAACCCUGCAGACACUGCCAUGAGGUUUACAAGUACUGCUUACCAGGUGUGUAAAUUAAGCAUGAAAAUGUGAUCACUGCUAGAUACAUGAUGACAAAAUGCAAUGGGAAUAAUCAUUUUAUUAACAGUAGACAUGCAUGCACAGCCAUACCUCAGGAUUGUUGUUAGUGAUUCUAAUUGAUAUUUCCGUCUGCUUGCUUACUGGAUGUAUUUUAUACUGUUUACAUUGUAUAGCACUGACUUUGACAACAUACCAAGCCUGUUACAAAUUUAACAGCUACGUUAUUAUAUGUAUAAUUGUUUCUUGAAAUACUACAAAUGUAAAAAAUAUAACAGCAAAAUAUGAUUUUAAAUAAAGGUAAUUGAUGAGACA